rnacentral:rRNA from 1 species
GACGAACGCUGGCGGCGUGCUUAACACAUGCAAGUCGAACGCAAAGGCCCUGCUUUUGUGGGGUGCUCGAGUGGCGAACGGGUGAGUAACACGUGAGUAACCUGCCCUUGACUUUGGGAUAACUUCAGGAAACUGGGGCUAAUACCGGAUAGGAGCUCCUGCUGCAUGGUGGGGGUUGGAAAGUUUCGGCGGUUGGGGAUGGACUCGCGGCUUAUCAGCUUGUUAGUGGGGUAGUGGCUUACCAAGGCUUUGACGGGUAGCCGGCCUGAGAGGGUGACCGGCCACAUUGGGACUGAGAUACGGCCCAGACUCCUACGGGAGGCAGCAGUGGGGAAUAUUGCACAAUGGGCGGAAGCCUGAUGCAGCAACGCCGCGUGCGGGAUGACGGCCUUCGGGUUGUAAACCGCUUUCGCCUGUGACGAAGCGUGAGUGACGGUAAUGGGUAAAGAAGCACCGGCUAACUACGUG